GAGUGUUACUCUGUCCCCCAGUCUGGCGUGCAAUGGUGUGAUCUCGGCUCACUGCAACCUCUACCUCCCGGGUUCAGCCUCCUGCCUCAGCCUUCCGAGCAGCUGGGACUACAGGAGCCUGCCACCACAUCUGGCGAAUUUUUGUAUUUUUAGUAGAGAUGGGGUUUCAGCAUGUUGUCCAGGUUGGUCUUGAACUCCUGACCUCAGGUGAUCCACCCACUUUGGCCUCACAAAGUGCUGGGAUUAUAGGCGAGAGCCAUCGCGCCCUGCCCACUCACCAGGAUUCCUAGAAUAGGCACGAGCUCUGCCCUCAUCACAGUCCAAAAGUGAGCACCUGCCUGGAGCUGCCCAGAAACAGCCUUUGCGGGUGAGGUUGGUGUCCGGCCUCCCUCCCCGGGGGCCUUCGCAGGCUUCUGCUGGUGCUUCUGUGCCUGUGGGUCUGGAUUCCUCCAGGGCCUGAGCCUGGGUGCAGAUGCGGCUGGAAGCCCGGAGCCUGCUGCACACACUAGUCUGGGCACGGAGUCUCUGCCGUGCCGGAGCCGUGCAGACACAGGAGCGGCUGUCAGGCAGCGCCAGCCCUGGGCAAGUGCCAGCUGGUGAGUGCUGUGCUCUGCAGGAGUAUGAGGCCACCGUGGAGCAGCUCAAGAUCGAGCAGAUCCGGGCGCAGGCCGAGGAGAGGAGGAAGACCCUGAGCGAGGAGACCCGGCAGCACCAGGCUAGGGCCCAGUAUCAAGACAAGCUGGCCCGGCAGCGCUACGAGGACCAACUGAAGCAGCAGCAACUUCUCAAUGAGGAGAAUUUACGGAAGCAGGAGGAGUCCGUGCAGAAGCAGGAGGCCAUGCGGCGAGCCACCGUGGAGCGGGAGAUGGAGCUGCGGCACAAGAACGAGUUGCUGCGAGUGGAGGCCGAGGCCCGGGCGCGCACCAAGGCCGAGCGGGAGAAUGCAGACAUCAUCCGCGAGCAGAUCCGCCUGAAGGCGGCCGAGCACCGUCAGACCGUCUUGGAGUCCAUCAGGACGGCUGGCACCUUGUUUGGGGAAGGAUUCCGUGCCUUUGUGACAGACUGGGACAAAGUGACAGCCACGGUGGCUGGGCUGACGCUGCUGGCUGUCGGGGUCUACUCAGCCAAGAAUGCCACGCUUGUCGCCGGUCGCUUCAUCGAAGCUCGGCUGGGGAAGCCGUCCCUGGUGAGGGAGACGUCCCGCAUCACGGUGCUGGAGGCGCUGCGGCACCCCAUCCAGGUCAGCCGGCGGCUCCUCAGUCGGCCCCAGGACGCGCUGGAGGGUGUUGUGCUCAGUCCCAGCCUGGAAGCACGGGUGCGCGACAUCGCCAUAGCAACAAGGAACACCAAGAAGAACCGGGGCCUGUACGGGAAUGUCCUGCUGUACGGGCCACCAGGCACCGGGAAGACGCUGUUUGCCAAGAAACUCGCCCUGCACUCAGGCAUGGACUACGCCAUCAUGACAGGCGGGGACGUGGCCCCCAUGGGGCGGGAAGGCGUGACCGCCAUGCACAAGCUCUUUGACUGGGCCAAUACCAGCCGGCGCGGCCUCCUGCUCUUCAUGGAUGAAGCGGACGCCUUCCUUCAGAAGCGAGGCACUGAGAAGAUAAGCGAGGACCUCAGGGCCACACUGAACGCCUUCCUGUACCGCACGGGCCAGCACAGCAACAAAUUCAUGCUGGUCCUGGCCAGCAAUCUGCCUGAGCAGUUCGACUGCGCCAUCAACAGCCGCGUCGACGUGAUGGUCCACUUCGACCUGCCGCAGCGGGAGGAGCGGGAGCGCCUGGUGAGAAUGUAUUUUGACAACUACGUUCUUAAGCCGGCCACAGAGGGAAAACGGCGCCUGAAGCUGGCCCAGUUUGACUUCGGGAGGAAGUGCUCGGAGGUCGCUCGGCUGACGGAGGGCAUGUCGGGACGGGAGAUCGCUCAGCUGGCCGUGUCCUGGCAGGCCACGGCGUAUGCCUCCAAGGACAGGAUCCUCACAGCCCAUGAUGGACGCCUGUGUGCAAGAUGCUGUCGGCAAGUACGACAGAGAUGCGCUGGCUGAAGCAGAGGGCCUGGGCGCGGGGGUUGGAGCGCCCCCUAUCCCGAGUCCAAGGCGAGGCCGGCACCUCAUGGAGCCUGGCAGCGGACCCCUCCUGCCCCUGCACGUUUAGGAUAUGCUCCUCGGUGGGGACUGGGCUGUACUCGGGGCCUCUGCACCAGGAUGUCUUGUGGUGGGGGUCAGCCGUUCUGCCCCCCAGGACACCCCCUGUUGUAGGCACUGGCUAGGAAGGGGCAGGCCUCGUUCCCGCCCCUCGAGACACUCUUGGGAGAUGCAUUUUCCCUCGCUCAGAGGCGGAGGGUGAGGCUUUGCACCCCAGCCCCUGCCCAGGCCACUGGGAGGGUGGGUGCUGGCUGAGCCCCUGGGGCAGAAGGAGUGGGGCGGGCGGGGUCUUUGUCCUCGGCUCCCACAGCAGAGCCAGGUGAGGGGGGCCUGCCAGGACUAGACAGAGGUGGGGCAGCCUGAACCCUGCUUCCAGCCAUUGCCAGAGGGCAGGGAACCUGGCAGGGGUGUCUGAGGCCACACUGUCAGCUGGCCGGUCCAAGCCUGUGGUUGGAGCUGGUGUCUGUUUAUCUAAUAAAGUCCCACAGGUGCCUCACUGCCGUCUCUCUCUAUUGCCUGACACUAUUCGGGGUUUCAGGGGCACCCUAGCGUCCUCCUGGGGUCAAAGGUGACAUAAGAGGCAGAGGCUGGAGCUUUCUGGAGAAUCUACUGAUCACAAAGUGGUGCGCUUCACAUCAGCCUCACGCCACGGCUGGGUUGGGAUCUGAAUGCUACCCAGGACCAGCCGCCUGCGCCCCACCAGCCUCUCCCUCGUGAAGGACGGGCACCCCAAGAAGAACGAGGCUGCAGAGUGAUGUGGGGGCCAGCGGUGACCUCAUGACCACACUGUGCUCAGGUGUAAGAGGGCACGCUUCUGCCCAGGCAUCGUCCAUGGAAGACACUUAGCCAGCCACUGCAGCGUCGGUCCUGGGAUGCCCUGGGGCUGGGUGACUGGGGGCCACAGGCCACACUGGGAGACCACAGUCCUGGCGGGCCAUGCAGCUCCCUGUCCCCAGAGGUCUGCUCAGAUGCAGAGAGC
rnacentral:sRNA from 1 species